AGAUAGAGAGAGAGAGAGUUGCGAAAACAGAAUAUAGGGUUGGUGUUGGCGGGAAUGGGGGAUGAUGGGUUUCAAAAUUAUUGUUAGGUGGUGAUAGUGGAGUGUGCAAAUUUGGUAAUAGCAACGGGCAAUGGUGGUUUCAGAUGCCAAUUUGGUACUGUAUGUGGAGGAGCAAUUCAAUCCAAGUCCAAGAUGUCAAAAUUAUGUCCUAAUGGGGGUUUAUGUGGGUUCUGUUUGGAGAGAUUAAUAUCCUUUUUUGUCAAGAUACUUGGAUUCUUCUUUGGGGGGAUUGUACUCAAUCAGUUUAGAGAUCUCGCAGAUGUCAAAAUUCUGUCUGAAUGGAGAUUCUAUUUUUGUGUAUCGCUUGGCUAUAGCCACUGCCGCACUUGCAGCUGGAGCCACAACUAAAGUUUCCUCCAUAGGAAGACAUUUUCUUCAGAAUACAGUAAAGGAUUGGGAACCAUUUUACUGAGUGGAAUUCACAUACAGAAUCUGCAGUUAUUAAUAAUAUGGAUGAACAGAACAAAUUUCUGUAUUAAUACAAAAACAAUUUCUAAGUAAAUUUGUAUUGCUAAAGCUUUCACAAAUUUCUCUAAGCAAUAUGACAUAAUUUCGCCGAGGGUGAUAAACAGCCAUGACUUUCAUUGAAGAUUUGAAGGUAAUAAAAAGCAAAAAUGUUAGACAACAAAGAGAACUUUUUUAGAGCAUGACUUACAUUGAAGGUAAAAACAAGCAAAAAUAUUAGACAACCAAUAGAACUUUUUAGAGUUUCUUGUAUGCAAUAGGAACGGAGUCACAAUUUGAUAUGAAAAAAAAAACUAUUAUAUUGUUCUUUUCCGAUAAGUCACACCAAUUGUAAUGCCCCAUAUUACAUGGAUUAGAUUUGGAUUGUAUGAAUAUCUAUUGUGUGAGUAUGUAUAUAUUAUUGAAUACCAUGUUGAGACAUACUAGGUCUAU